rnacentral:rRNA from 1 species
AUUGAACGCUGGCGGCAGGCCUAACACAUGCAAGUCGAGCGGCAGCGGGAAAGUAGCUUGCUACUUUUGCCGGCGAGCGGCGGACGGGUGAGUAAUGCCUGGGAAAUUGCCCAGUCGAGGGGGAUAACAGUUGGAAACGACUGCUAAUACCGCAUACGCCCUACGGGGGAAAGCAGGGGACCUUAGGGCCUUGCGCGAUUGGAUAUGCCCAGGUGGGAUUAGCUAGUUGAUGAGGUAAUGGCUCACCAAGGCGACGAUCCCUAGCUGGUCUGAGAGGAUGAUCAGCCACACUGGAACGGAGACACGGUCCAGACUCCUACGGGAGGCAGCAGUGGGGAAUAUUGCACAAUGGGGGAAACCCUGAUGCAGCCAUGCCGCGUGUGUGAAGAAGGCCUUCGGGUUGUAAAGCACUUUCAGCGAGGAGGAAAGGUUGAUGCCUAAUACGUAUCAACUGUGACGUUACUCGCAGAAGAAGCACCGGCUAACUCCGUGCCAGCAGCCGCAGUAAUAC